rnacentral:rRNA from 1 species
UACGGGGGGGGCAAGCGUUGUUCGGAAUUACUGGGCGUAAAGGGCUCGUAGGCGGCCAACUAAGUCAGACGUGAAAUCCCUCGGCUUAACCGGGGAACUGCGUCUGAUACUGGAUGGCUGGAGGUUGGGAGAGGGAUGCGGAAUUCCAGGUGUAGCGGUGAAAUGCGUAGAUAUCUGGAGGAACACCGGUGGCGAAGGCGGCAUCCUGGACCAAUUCUGACGCUGAGGAGCGAAAGCCAGGGGAGCAAACAGG